AUACGGGGGGUCCGAGCGUUAUCCGGAUUUAUUGGGUUUAAAGGGAGCGUAGGUGGACAGUUAAGUCAGUUGUGAAAGUUUGCGGCUCGACCGUAAAAUUGCAGUUGAUACUGGCUGUCUUGAGUACAGAAGAGGUGGGCGGAAUUCGUGGUGUAGCGGUGAAAUGCUUAGAUAUCAUGAAGAACUCCGAUUGCGAAGGCAGCUCACUGGACUGCAACUGACACUGAUGCUCGAAAGUGUGGGUAUCAAACAGGAUUAGAUACCCUGGUAGUCCACACAGUAAACGAUGAAUACUCGCUGUUUGCGAUAUACAGUAAGCGGCCAAGCGAAAGCAUUAAGUAUUCCACCUGGGGAGUACGCCGGCAACGGUGAAACUCAAAGGAAUUGACGGGG
rnacentral:rRNA from 1 species